GGGAAUCCAAACUCUGCUGGUACUCAGAACAGCAAUGCCAAUGCUCAGGGGGUUUCUGAAUCAGAUUCUCUCAUACCUGGUUUAACCAAAGAUCAAUACUCACAGCUUAUGUUGCUUCUUCAACAGACACAAAUUUCAGAAUCUAUGGCAUCAUCCAACUUUGCUGGUAACCUUUCUUCCACCACUCACUUAAAGAAUGUAUCCUAUGGUGCCUGCAUGUUAACUAAAUUAAGUGACUGCAUUUGGAUUAUAGAUUCUUGUGCCACUGAUCACAUGACCUCCAAUAAAGACCUUCUGUUUGACAUUAAGCCUUUAACUAUACCUUAUCUAGUUACCUUACCCAAUGGUUAUAAGGUUAAGUAACCUGCACUAGGUCAAUUCAGUUUCUUUGUUUCACUCUACAUCAUGUCAUUUAUAUUCCCAGUUUUCAAUACAAUCUCAUCUCUGUGUCUAAACUUGUGUGCCAGUUGAAUUCUACUGUCCUAUUUACUAAAUUCUCUUAUUUAAUACAGGCCCCUUCUCUGAAGAGGCCACUAGAGAUUGGUAAAUUGGAUGAUGGUCUCUACAGGCUUGUUCAAUCUUCUUCUCUUCAGUCUGUUGAUCAUUGUAAAUCUCAUUCUCCAUUAACUGUUGGUUCUGUUUCUACCUCUCAUUGUUCAUAUCAUUCUGAAUCUAAUAAAAUGGAGAUUUCACGGCACAAUAGACUAGGGCAUAUACCUUUUGUUAGGAUGAAAGACAUGUCUUCUAUACCAUGUACAUUUUCAACAAACCAGCCUUUCCUUUGUCCUAUAUGU
rnacentral:lncRNA from 1 species